rnacentral:rRNA from 1 species
UACGUAGGGGGCAAGCGUUGUCCGGAUUUAUUGGGCGUAAAGAGCGUGUAGGCGGCCUGAAAGGUCAGCUGUGAAAACUCGAGGCUCAACCUCGAGACGUCGGUUGAAACCAUCUGGCUAGAGUCCGGAAGAGGAGUGUGGAAUUCCCGGUGUAGCCGGUGAAAUGCGCAGAUAUCGGGAAGAACACCCGUGGCGAAGGCGGCACUCUGGGACGGUACUGACGCUGAGACGCGAAAGCGUGGGGAGCGAACGAGG